UACGGGGGGAGCAAGCGUUGUUCGGAUUUACUGGGCGUAAAGGGCGCGUAGGCGGCCACCGCAAGUCGACUGUGAAAUCUCUGGGCUUAACCCAGAAAGGUCAGCUGAUACUGCGGGGCUAGAGUGCAGAAGGGGCAACUGGAAUUCUCGGUGUAGCGGUGAAAUGCGUAGAUAUCGAGAGGAACACCUGCGGCGAAGGCGGGUUGCUGGGCUGACACUGACGCUGACAGCGCGAAAGCUAGGGGAGCGAACGGG
rnacentral:rRNA from 1 species